rnacentral:rRNA from 1 species
AUUGAACGCUGGCGGCAGGCCUAACACAUGCAAGUCGAACGAGUGGCGGACGGGUGAGUAAUGUCUGGGAAACUGCCUGAUAGAGGGGGAUAAAUACUGGAAACGGUAGCUAAUACCGCAUACCAUCGGAUGUGCCCCGAUGGGAUUAGCUAUUGGGUGGGGUAAAGGCGAACCUGGGCGCCGAUCCCUAGCUGGUCUGAGAGGAUGACCAGCCACACUGGAACGGAGACACGGUCCAGACUCCUACGGGAGGCAGCAGUGGGGAAUAUUGCACAAUGGGCGCAAGCCUGAUGCAGCCAUGCCGCGUGUAUGAAGAAGGCCUUCGGGUUGUAAAGUACUUUCAGCGGGGAGGCGUUACCCGCAGAAGAAGCACCGGCUAACUCCGUGCCAGCAGCCGCGGUAAUUC